UUUCAGCUUCACAACAACUUACUCAGAUGUUCAUGAAAAUAAUAAUCUGACAUUUGCUACAGUAAAGGGCGCUGGGCAUCCGGCUCCAGAAUAUUACCGGCAAGAAACUUACUAUUUGUUUGAGAGAUGGCUUAACGGUCAUCCUAUAUAAAAUAUUAAUUACUUAA